rnacentral:rRNA from 1 species
UGAAUACGAGACGCUAAGGCGUCGAAGUAGUGUAUGUCAUACUUCCAAGAAAAGCUUGCACUGUCAUAGAUAAAAAACGCCUGUACCAUAACCGACACAGGUGGGUAGGUAGAGUAUACUAAGGGGCGCGAGAUAACUCUCUCUAAGGAACUCGGCAAAAUAACUCCGUAACUUCGGGAGAAGGAGUGCCUUAUUCGUAAGGUUGCAAUAACAAGAUCCAAGCAACUGUUUAUCAAAAACACAGGUCUCCGCUAAGUCGUAAGACGAUGUAUGGGGGCUGACGCCUGCCCAGUGCCAGAAGGUUAAAGAAGUUGGUUAGCAAUUGCGAAGCUGAUAACUGAAGCCCUGGUGAACGGCGGCCGUAACUAUAACGGUCCUAAGGUAGCGAAAUUCCUUGUCGGGUAAGUUCCGACCCGCACGAAAGGCGUAAUGAUUUGGAUACUGUCUCGGAGAGGGGCUCGGUGAAAUAGACUUGUCUGUGAAGAUGCGGACUACCUGCACCAGGACAGAAAGACCCUAUGAAGCUUUACUGUAACUUGAAAUUGAAAUUGGACUUUAUUCGCGCAGUAUAGGUGGGAGGCGUUGAUUAUAAUCUUGUGGGAUUAUUGGAGCCAUCAGUGAGAUACCACUCUUGUAAUGUUAGAUUUCUAACUUUGAAUCAUUAUCUGGUCAAAGAACAGUUUCAGGCGGGCAGUUUGACUGGGGCGGUCGCCUCCUAAACUGUAACGGAGGCGUACAAAGGUUUCCUCUGAACGGUUAGAAAUCGUAUCUAGAGUGUAAAGGCAUAAGGAAGCUUGACUGUGAGACCUACAAGUCGAGCAGGGACGAAAGUCGGUCUUAGUGAUCUGACGGUACUGAGUGGAAAGGCCGUCACUCAACGGAUAAAAGUUACUCUAGGAUAACAGGCUGAUCUCCCCCAAGAGUUCACAUCGACGGGGAGGUUUGGCACCUCGAUGUCGGCUCAUCGCAUCCUGGGGCGGUAGUACGUCCCAAGGGUUGGGCUGUUCGCCCAUGAAAGCGGUACGCGAGCUGGGUUCAGAACGUCGUGAGACAGUUCGGUCCAUAUCCGGUGUAGGCGUUAGAAUAUUGAGAGGAGCCUUCUUUAGUACGAGAGGACCGAGAAGGACAUACCUCUGGUGUACCAGUUAUCGUGCCAACGGUAAACGCUGGGUAGCUAUGUAUGGAGUGGAUAACCGCUGAAAGCAUCUAAGUGGGAAGCCCACCUCAAGAUAAG